CUUGGUUUGAUUGCAAACGAUACAAAUAGUUUACUACUUUAUAAGUGAACUUGAUGCGUAAUAUGACAUCUACGCUUAGACAUUACAUAUGUGGAAAUAUUAAUGAGCUUUUGGGACCUUGGACCAUAAUCUUUCAGUAGCUGCCUUAAUGUGCAGGGAAUGCAGUGACCGAUGCACUAUCAAUAACACAACUGACUGUCCUGCCUGAUUUAUUUUGCAGUCAUCCUGGAGAAAUCACUUUGUGGUUACGACUCAGCAAAUGUUGAGGAACGUACCUCUUGCCAAAAUUACUAAACCUGAAACUGGGUUGCUACUCAGCAGAAAGAAGAAAAAACAGGCAGCUGAAGUACGCUGGAAACAGUAUCCAUUUGGGAUUGCAGGAAAAAUCAAGUGAAGGAUAAAAAGUAGUCUGCAAACAAAUCAGGCAUGUUAAGGGUCAUGCAAUGCAUCAAACUAGAAAAAGGAUUUCCCCAAAGCAAGCAUGACUGUAAGUGGAAAACUUCCUUCAGGAAAUGGGAAGGCACCUGAGCGUUUUGCAGACCUGAGAUUGCAUCCAAAUGCCUUUGCAAGGAUCCAGGCAAAAAGACUUUCCUUCUGUCCUUUCCAGUGAGACUUCAGGUGAAGGACAUUGUGUUCAUGGACACUGUCUAUGGCGGCUCCACUUCAGACUGUUGUCUGAGAGAUGUGAGAAGUCAAAGUGAACUUCACACUGCUGGACAUCAGCAGGGAGGAAGAGAACAGCAAUAUCUGAGAAACCUUACGGUAUGAGCAGAAAGUAAGCUUAGAUCUUUCUCCCAAACCUGUACCCAGCUCUCUGCCUGUAUCUGACCGAAGAAUGAGGAGAGAAAACACUGUCAUUAAUUUUCAUACUAAAUGAGCCUUAAUAGCUUCUCUACUUGUGCAGUAGGUCAGCUGCAUGGUUCGUCGGCUGGGCUGUCGAGGCACUGCACGGAGCACUGAGUCACCUGGCAGCUUUAGAGCAGUGAAAAUAGAGCACUCAGCUCUGCCUUUCCCUUGGCAUUAAUGCAAGGAGAUUACACUCGUGUAAUGAAUUUCUAAAGUUUCUACCUUCAUCUAGUGGUUCUCCCUUGUUUUCCCUGUUGUCUGUGACAAGCUCAUGUAGAAUCCAUGUUUGUUUCCAGACUUAACUAUUUAUCUUCCAGUGUGUAUUUUCAUUUUCUUUCCCACUUACACAGCAGACCAAAUGUUGAACCAUUGAGUUCAAGUAGAGGUAAAAAUGAAGAGUGAGUGGUUGAAAUACUGUCCUUGUUCACUCCGUGUAAAUCUGAGGUAAUUACUUGAACAGGCUGAAAAUGCAGUUUUCAUCCCAUGGGCAUGUCCUUUUAAUUUAGAAACCAUACCAAAUUUAAGAGAGUUGAAGGAAGCCGAGUUUAAUGAGACAUUUUGAUUUCAGAAAGUCUCAAAUAUUGUUUCAUUUCAGUUAUUUCAGUGUUUUCAUUGGAUAAUAUAGCACUGCUGAGACAAUGGAAAUGAAAUUCCUUGGUAACUUCCUAUACCAAAGAUCAAGGAAUCUAAUCUAUUACCACGUGCUUUGAUUUUUGUAGAUCAGCAUUAUUCAGUGGAACAAUGAUCUAUAGGAAAGCUUUCCACCAAUCCUGAUGUUUACCUUGAAUAAAUAGGUUAGAUCAUGUUUUCAGACAAACCUACUGCCAAAGCAACCUGACUUACUGUGCAUACCCUAGAGUCUCUCACAAGCACCAGUGCCAGCGAAAUCUAGUCCAGUAAGUCCAUUAACAUUUUUUUCUGUAUCCCUUCACCACUAUGACAGUUAUUGUCAAUGGAAGAGCAAAUUAUUAGGUUUAUUCAAUUUACAAUUACCUUUUCUUUUAAGUAAUUAAUUGGCAUUUGCAAUAGCCAAAUUUAGCUAGUUUAUUAUAAAGCCUGAAAUAACUCCAGGUAUAUAAAGCCUGUUGUUCUGGCUUCAUUGCGUGAAGGCUUUGACUGAAGUCUGCUUCAAACUACUGUCAAGUACUCACAGAUCUGUGUUCUCUGUCAUUUCCCCACAGAGAGCACAGACUAUUUGGGUAUGUGUUUAUUGUCAGAAGUUACUGGUGAAUGAGAUUCACGUUGGAAAAUGAUCAACAUUCGUUUUCAAUAUCUUGAAAAAGAGCUAAUAAGCAAGUUGUAAGUACAUGAGAUAGUAUACGCGGAAUUGAUUUUUUUCCCCAUUGAUUUAUAGCCAAUUUACAAGGUGCUUUUAAGUAGAAUAGUUAGAAGAAAAUAAGGGCUUCGAAGUCAUUUGGAAACAUCUCUUUGAUAGGUGUAGUAUUUGUAGUAUUCAGUGGUAAACCUGCAUAUUUUUUCAGUAUUCCAAGGUGAAGUGUCUGGAAAUGUUCAUAUAUUGCAUGUGAAAGAUCUCGUACUUGAUUCUGAGUUCAGUGGAACUAAAUCAGACACUUUUACAUAUGGGUUUUUGCAGGGCUUUUAUUUAUUUCUUCCUACCAUCACCAUAAGUGACCUAAAUCUGAGACAAAGAGAGAUAGCAGUUUCAAUUUCUAUUUUUAUUUUCACAGCAGUAUGAGCGUUCAUCGUACUUCAUAAUAUGACAAAAUGAUUAAAUUCUGCUCUGACUUGCACAGCUUUUAAUUUGGAGCAACUUCAAGGGAGUUAGUCCAGACUUAAAUAUGUAAGUGGAAGUGGGAAAAUUUGACUCAGUAUGUGUUUGAUUCUGAUUUCAGCUGUGAUUGUCGACACUGUAGCUCAUAUUUGAUUCAGAACCUUGUGUUAAGUGAGCUGUGCAGUAAUGUGCUUUUUAGCUGGAAAUUAUUGCAGGACCAUUUAAAGAAAAACUUAAUCAGGUGCCAUACAAACUUCUGAUUAAGGUUUUUAAAUAACAAACUUGAAGUUAAAACCAGCAAGGCAUAAGAAAUUCCCAGAGCAGUGAAUACAAAAUCAUUAAUCUGAACCACUUUUAAUUUCUACUCAGAAUUUGUUAGUGGAGUGGUAAAUUAAAUUGUGGUCCUGGUUUUAGAAAAUAUCUGCUGUGAACGUACACUCAUCUUUGCUAAUCAGAAGCAACAGUACUCAUAGAAACAAUUUGUCAUUUCAUCUUCAAAUACACAAUAAAAAAAUCUCAUGGAAAAGAUUUUCUUUCUUAUGUAGAGCAAUCACUUCAGCGUAAGACCAGCGAGAACAUCAGCAGGAAAAUCCUAGUGCCUGGCAAAUGACACAGUAAUGAAAGACAAC
rnacentral:lncRNA from 1 species